rnacentral:hammerhead_ribozyme from 1 species
ACAUUGCUGAAGAGUUUCAUACUAGGACGAAGCGGACGUCCAAUGU